GUGGGGAAUUUUGGACAAUGGGGGCAACCCUGAUCCAGCCAUGCCGCGUGCGGGAAGAAGGCCUUCGGGUUGUAAACCGCUUUUGUCAGGGAAGAGAUCCUUUGGGUUAAUACCUCGGAGGGAUGACGGUACCUGAAGAAUAAGCACCGGCUAACUACGUGCCAGCAGCCGCGGUAAUACGUAGGGUGCGAGCGUUAAUCGGAAUUACUGGGCGUAAAGCGUGCGCAGGCGGUUUUGUAAGAUCGAUGUGAAAUCCCCGGGCUCAACCUGGGAACUGCAUUGGUGACUGCAAGGCUGGAGUGCGGCAGAGGGGGAUGGAAUUCCGCGUGUAGCAGUGAAAUGCGUAGAUAUGUGGAGGAACACCGAUGGCGAAGGCAAUCCCCUGGGCCUGCACUGACGCUCAUGCACGAAAGCGUGGGGAGCAAACAGGAUUAGAUACCCUUGUAGUCC
rnacentral:rRNA from 1 species